GGAAUAUCUAGUGGACUGGUAGGGGUAUGGACCAGAGGCUUCCAGUUGAUUCACAAAACUCUCACCCACUGGUCACAGCUUCGCCAACACGAGCGGCCCAAUAGCCGGAGGCCCAGUGGCCCUGCGGUAUUUCCGCCCUCUUUGGUCCCAGUCCAAUGUGAAGACACUAUUUCAGUUCAGUGUCAGGAUGACCAAUUCGGGUUGGAUGCUGAAGUGGUUUAUGAUGAAAAAUUCUUUCCCUUACGAAGGUGCAAUCCAUUUGUGACUGGGUCAUAUCACAGGGGACGAGUUCCUGGGCAGAAUCAGGAUACUGGCGUGUCUCCAGGAUUCAUAGCACCUGAUGGCAUGGGCGGCAAUGGCCAAGAGCUGAUGAACAGAGAUGAACGCUAUAAAAAAGAGAAGCGUGUGCAUCCAAAGGGAAAGAAGAAAAAGGUUAAGAGAGGCGAGAACACAGCUUCACCAUUAAAGAGGAAAAUCAUCCAGUCAGCAUCUGACAGUAACGAAAUGUGAUUUGAUUAAUAAGAUAAAUAACACCUAUUUUCUUGUUUAAAGUGAUAGUUCACCCAAAAAUUCUGUCAUUAAUUACUCACCCUCAUGUUGUUUCAAACCCGUAAGACCUUUGUUCACCUUUGGGACACAAACUAAGUUAUUUUUGAUGAAAUGCGAGAGCUGUCUGACCCUGAAUAGACAGCAACGGAACUAUCACGUUCAAGCCCAGAAAGGUAGUAAGAACAAUCAUUAAAAUAGUCCAUGCGGCAUCAGUGAUGGACAGCGUUGCUGUCUAUGCAGGGUCAGACAGCUCUCGGAUUUUAUCGAUAGC
ensembl:lncRNA